GACAAACGCUGGCGGCGUGCCUAACACAUGCAAGUCGAGCGCGAAAGGGACCUUCGGGUCCCCUGAGAGCGGCGAACGGGUGAGUAACACGUGGGCAACCUGCCUCAAGGACUGGGAUAACUCCGGGAAACCGGGGCUAAUACCGGACGAUGUCGUCUCGUGCAAGCGAGCCGACCAAAUGGUAGCUUCGGCCUCCGCCUUGAGAUGGGCCCGCGUCCUAUCAGCUUGUUGGUGAGGUAAUGGCUCACAAAGGCUAUGACGGGUAGCUGGUCUGGAAGGAUGAUCAGCCACACUGGGCCUGAGAUACGGCCCAGACUCCUACGGGGGGCAGCAGUGGGGAAUCUUGCGCAAUGGGCGAAAGCCUGACGCAGCAACGCGGCGUGAGCGAAGAAGGCCUUCGGGUUGUAAAGCUCUGUCAGGGGGAAAGAAGGCACCUGGGUUAAUAGCCCAAGGGCUGACGGUACCCCCAAAGGAAGCCACGGCUAACUACGUGCCAGCAGCCGCCGUAAUAC
rnacentral:rRNA from 1 species